UGCCCCCCCGGGGGGGCCCCCAGUACCUGGAACAGGAACGUGGUCCAGUUGGCCUCCAUGGCUGCGGCAGCCGACCCCCCUCCUCCCCACUCCCCCCGCUCGGGGAGCCUCCUCAGCCGGAGGAGGCGACAACAAAGCGGCGGCGGCGGCGGCGGCGGCAGCGGCAGCGGCGGCUCCUCAACAUGGCAGCGCCGAGCGCGGCCACUUCCGCGUCAGGAGAUGUCACUGAGGUGACCCCAGCCUCUGUUUGCAGUUCCAAGUCUUCCGUGUAGGCGUCACUGCUACUGGAACUUUGUAGAUGAGGAGCCUGUAUGAUGAUGUCCUGAACGUUUUCUAGCCUUUCCUCACAGAGUCACCAGAAUGAAGGGGCUGGAAAACGCUGGUCUGGUUCCUUUUAGAGCUGAUUCCCCAUUGGAUACUGCCUGGAGGCCUUGGGGAGGAAUGAGAAGUUCUGCAGUUUGGAUCAGAAGCAGUGGAUAUCAAGUCUCUGCUUCUGCCCUACCUUAACACAUUCAUUUCAUGGUCUCUGUAAAGCAUCUCUUCAGUUUUCUUCCUCCCACGUACAGCCUCUCCUCCUUAGCUGCUGCCUUUCAAACUGUGGUGAAAAUGAAGCUUCAGGAUUGUGAAAACUAGUAUUUAAUGAAGACCAUUACUCUAAUGACUGUAUUGCUGAACUCUCUUGAACUCCUUACCCUGGGAUCUAGAAAUGCUUUCUCCAGCAAUCUUUCUCACAGCACCUCUAAGGAGGGGUUUUCCCACUAACAGGAAGUAGAGGUUGAGUGAAGAAAGUCCAGUUCUCAUUACUGAAGAGGUGGGAUCCAGAAGUAUCAAUUUUCUUGAGGAAAACGGCUAAUUUUAUCUUUAUCCAUAAGACAAAACUGGAAUUCCUAAUUGUUCCCCAGACUCUCCCUUAUAAAGAAAAAUUAACAACCUUUUAAAUUUAGAUGCAAUUUUAAAAAUCUGGAAAAUAUCCAAAACUUUGGAAUAAGUAUUCAAAAACAAUCAGCUCCAACUGUUAGAGGAAUAUAAUGAAACCAGUAAAAUCAAAGACUCCAUCUCUAGAAGGGGCAAUUUUACCUUUAGAACAGUCAAUAUUCUUAACCACAAACAAAACAAGCCCCUUCUCAAGCCACCUGCCACAGAUUAUAUACUGGGGUCCAGUCAAAGAAACAUGUCUAAAGACAGUAAAUUCAUCCACUCAAAAGUCAGAUCCCCAACUCACCCUGUUCAGGUUACUCCUCCCACCCCGAACUGUAUGACCUUUUACCUAAUCUUUCAGUGACUCAGUUUCCUCAUGUGGAAAAUAAGAACAAAAUACCCAUCUCACAGGGAUGACCUGUGGAUUAAAUGACAAAUAUAUGUAAAAUGCUUACAACAUUUCUGAAAUAUAAAAGGUACUAAGUAAAUAUUUUUAUUGGUGCUAUUGAAUGGUUCUAGAUUAAAAGAUUAACUUUGGAGCUGAAAACUACACACACGAGCUCUGAGCCAGUUAAUUAUUCCUCUCACUUUCUCUCAAAGAGAUAGGUUUUCUCUCAUCCCUCUCUCCUUCAAAGAGCCCUAAGGUCUAUUUCCCUAAAGACAACUUUUUAGAAAAAAUUUAUUGAGGCAUAAUUGAUU